rnacentral:rRNA from 1 species
UACGAAGGGGGCUAGCGUUACUCGGAAUUACUGGGCGUAAAGGGCGCGUAGGCGGCUCUGUUAGUCAGGCGUGAAAUUCCUGGGCUUAACCUGGGGACUGCGCUUGAUACUGCGGGGCUUGAGGCCGAGAGAGGGUGGUGGAAUUCCCAGUGUAGAGGUGAAAUUCGUAGAUAUUGGGAAGAACACCGGUGGCGAAGGCGACCACCUGGCUCGGUACUGACGCUGAGGCGCGACAGCGUGGGGAGCAAACAGGAUUAGAUACCCUGGUAGUCCACGCCGUAAACGAUGUGCGCUGGAUGUUGGGGCCCCUAGGGUCUCAGUGUCGUAGCCAACGCGGUAAGCGCACCGCCUGGGGAGUACGGCCGCAAGGUUGAA